UCGUAACAAGGUUUCCGUAGGUGAACCUGCGGAAGGAUCAUUAAUGAUUUGGGUCGAAAGGCCCUGCAAGAUCAAAAUCCUUCAUACCCCUGUGAACCUGUUGGCCCCCGGGCCAUCAACCACCUCCAAACACGGUGUAACGAACGUACGAGAUGAUAAACCUAAUAAAACUUUCAACAACGGAUCUCUUGGCUCUUGCAUCGAUGAAGAACGCAGCGAAAUGCGAUAAGUAAUGUGAAUUGCAGAAUUCAGUGAAUCAUCGAAUCUUUGAACGCACCUUGCGCCUUUUGGUAUUCCGAAAGGCAUGCCUGUUUGAGUGUCAUGAAGCAUCAAUCCACCUUUGGUCUCUGUGCCGAGGGGAGGACUUGGACUUGGGUGUUGCCCUCAGGCUCACCUCAAAUGUGUUAGUGGGUGCGACCCUUUGGCCGGACGUAAUAAGUUCCGUCUGUGCCCUCGGGAGACGUUUCUGCUCCGGAACCCCCUCAUUCAUUUUUAAUUCUGACCUCAAAUCAGGUAGGGCUACCCGCUGAACUUAAGCAUAUCAAUAAGCGGAGGAAAAGAAACUAACAAGGAUUCCCCUAGUAACGGCGAGCGAACCGGGAUGAGCUCAAAUUUGAAAUCUGGCGCCCUCCGGACGUCCGAGUUGUAAUCUAUAGAAGCGUUUUCCGUGCCGGACCGUGUCCAAGUCCCUUGGAACAGGGUAUCAAAGAGGGUGACAAUCCCGUACUUGACACGACGACCGGCGCUCUGUGAUACGUUCUCUACGAGUCGAGUUGUUUGGGAAUGCAGCUCAAAACGGGUGGUAAAUUCCAUCUAAAGCUAAAUAUUGGCGAGAGACCGAUAGCGAACAAGUACCGUGAGGGAAAGAUGAAAAGCACUUUGGAAAGAGAGUUAAACAGUAUGUGAAAUUGUUGAAAGGGA
rnacentral:rRNA from 1 species